rnacentral:rRNA from 1 species
UGGGGAAUAUUGCACAAUGGAGGGAACUCUGAUGCAGCGACGCCGCGUGAACGAAGAAGGCUUUCGCGUCGUAAAGUUCUUUUAUAUGGGAAGAUAAUGACGGUACCAUAAGAAAAAGCCCCGGCUAACUACGUGCCAGCAGCCGCGGUAAUACGUAGGGGGCUAGCGUUGUCCGGAAUCACUGGGCGUAAAGGGUUCGCAGGCGGAAAUGCAAGUCAGGUGUAAAAGGCGGUAGCUUAACUACUGUAAGCAUUUGAAACUGCAUAUCUUGAGAAGAGUAGAGGUAAGUGGAAUUUUUAGUGUAGCGGUGAAAUGCGUAGAUAUUAAAAAGAAUACCGGUGGCGAAGGCGACUUACUGGGCUCAUUCUGACGCUGAGGAACGAAAGCGUGGGUAGCAAACAGG